GUGUAUGGCCAUGCCACCCUGAACAAGCCCGAUCCUGUCUGAUCUCGGAAGCUAAGCAGGGUCGGGCCUGGUGAGUACUUGGAUGGGAGAUCACCUUGGAAGACCAGGUGCUGUAGGUG
rnacentral:rRNA from 1 species